rnacentral:rRNA from 1 species
CCUACGGGGGGCAGCAGUGGGGAAUAUUGCACAAUGGGCGAAAGCCUGAUGCAGCAACGCCGCGUGAAGGAAGAAGGGUUUCGGCUCGUAAACUUCUAUCAACAGGGACGAAAGAAAUGACGGUACCUGAAUAAGAAGCCCCGGCUAACUACGUGCCAGCAGCCGCGGUAAUACGUAGGGGGCAAGCGUUAACCGGAAUUACUGGGUGUAAAGGGUGAGUAGGCGGCAUGGUAAGCCAGAGGUGAAAGCCUCGGGCUUAACCCGAGGAUUGCAUUUGGAACUAUCAAGCUAGAGUACUGGAGAGGCAGUCGGAAUUCCUAGUGUAGCGGUGAAAUGCGUAGAUAUUAGGAGGAACACCAGUGGCGAAGGCGGCCUGCUGGACAGAAACUGACGUUGAGGCUCGAAAGCGUGGGGAGCAAACAGGAUUAGAUACCCGUGUAGUC